rnacentral:rRNA from 1 species
UGGGGAAUAUUGGACAAUGGGGGCAACCCUGAUCCAGCAAUGCCGCGUGUGUGAAGAAGGUCUUCGGAUUGUAAAGCACUUUCGACGGGGACGAUGAUGACGGUACCCGUAGAAGAAGCCCCGGCUAACUUCGUGCCAGCAGCCGCGGUAAUACGAAGGGGGCUAGCGUUGCUCGGAAUGACUGGGCGUAAAGGGCGUGUAGGCGGUUUACACAGUCAGAUGUGAAAUCCCCGGGCUUAACCUGGGAGCUGCAUUUGAUACGUGUAGACUAGAGUGUGAGAGAGGGUUGUGGAAUUCCCAGUGUAGAGGUGAAAUUCGUAGAUAUUGGGAAGAACACCGGUGGCGAAGGCGGCAACCUGGCUCAUGACUGACGCUGAGGCGCGAAAGCGUGGGGAGCAAACAGGAUUAGAUACCCUGGUAGUCCACGCUGUAAAACGAUGUGUGCUAGAUGUUGGGUAACUUUGUUAUUCAGUGUCGCAGUUAACGCGUUAAAGCACACCGC